rnacentral:ncRNA from 1 species
AAGGUUCUUAUUACGAUUUUGUAAUAAGAGUAAAAGGGAAGUCGGUGAAAUUCCGACGCUGUCCCGCAACUGUAAAUGGGAGCUUGCCUUAUAAUCCACUGUUACAAAGUAAUGGGAAGGAAGGUACUGCGAUGAACAUAAGCCAGGAGACCUGCCUUUAUGCUUU